GGGUUGUGAGGUUAAGCGACUAAGCGUACACGGUGGAUGCCCUGGCAGUCAGAGGCGAUGAAGGGCGUGCUAAUCUGCGAUAAGCGCCGGUAAGGUGAUAUGAACCGUUAUAACCGGCGAUACCCGAAUGGGGAAACCCAGUGUGAUUCGUCACACUAUCAUUAACUGAAUCCAUAGGUUAAUGAGGCGAACCGGGGGAACUGAAACAUCUAAGUACCCCGAGGAAAAGAAAUCAACCGAGAUUCCCCCAGUAGCGGCGAGCGAACGGGGAGGAGCCCAGAGCCUGAAUCAGCAUGUGUGUUAGUGGAAGCGUCUGGAAAGGCGCGCGAUACAGGGUGACAGCCCCGUACACAAAAGCGUAUGUGCUGUGAGCUCGAUGAGUAGGGCGGGACACGUGGUAUCCUGUCUGAAUAUGGGGGGACCAUCCUCCAAGGCUAAAUACUCCUGACUGACCGAUAGUGAACCAGUACCGUGAGGGAAAGGCGAAAAGAACCCCGGCGAGGGGAGUGAAAAAGAACCUGAAACCGUGUACGUACAAGCAGUGGGAGCACCCUUUGGGGUGUGACUGCGUACCUUUUGUAUAAUGGGUCAGCGACUUAUAUUCUGUAGCAAGGUUAACCGAAUAGGGGAGCCGGAGGGAAACCGAGUCUUAAUUGGGCGUUAAGUUGCAGGGUAUAGACCCGAAACCCGGUGAUCUAGCCAUGGGCAGGUUGAAGGUUGGGUAACACUAACUGGAGGACCGAACCGACUAAUGUUGAAAAAUUAGCGGAUGACCUGUGGCUGGGGGUGAAAGGCCAAUCAAACCGGGAGAUAGCUGGUUCUCCCCGAAAGCUAUUUAGGUAGCGCCUCGUGAAUUCAUCUCCGGGGGUAGAGCACUGUUUCGGCUAGGGGGUCAUCCCGACUUACCAACCCGAUGCAAACUGCGAAUACCGGAGAAUGUUAUCACGGGAGACACACGGCGGGUGCUAACGUCCGUCGUGAAGAGGGAAACAACCCAGACCGCCAGCUAAGGUCCCAAAGUCAUGGUUAAGUGGGAAACGAUGUGGGAAGGCACAGACAGCCAGGAUGUUGGCUUAGAAGCAGCCAUCAUUUAAAGAAAGCGUAAUAGCUCACUGGUCGAGUCGGCCUGCGCGGAAGAUGUAACGGGGCUAAACCAUGCACCGAAGCUGCGGCAGCGACACUCAGGUGUUGUUGGGUAGGGGAGCGUUCUGUAAGCCUGUGAAGGUGGCCUGUGAGGGUUGCUGGAGGUAUCAGAAGUGCGAAUGCUGACAUAAGUAACGAUAAAGCGGGUGAAAAGCCCGCUCGCCGGAAGACCAAGGGUUCCUGUCCAACGUUAAUCGGGGCAGGGUGAGUCGACCCCUAAGGCGAGGCCGAAAGGCGUAGUCGAUGGGAAACGGGUUAAUAUUCCCGUACUUGGUGUUACUGCGAAGGGGGGACGGAGAAGGCUAUGUUGGCCGGGCGACGGUUGUCCCGGUUUAAGCGUGUAGGUGUGUGUUCCAGGUAAAUCCGGUUCACUUUAACACUGAGGCGUGAUGACGAGGCACUACGGUGCUGAAGCAACAAAUGCCCUGCUUCCAGGAAAAGCCUCUAAGCAUCAGGUAA
rnacentral:rRNA from 1 species